rnacentral:rRNA from 1 species
AACGAACGCUGGCGGCAGGCUUAACACAUGCAAGUCGAACGCUCCGCAAGGAGAGUGGCAGACGGGUGAGUAACACGUGGGAACGUACCCUUUACUACGGAACAACUCCGGGAAACUGGAGCUAAUACCGUAUGUGCCCUUUGGGGGAAAGAUUUAUCGGUAAAGGAUCGGCCCGCGUUGGAUUAGCUAGUUGGUGGGGUAAAGGCCUACCAAGGCGACGAUCCAUAGCUGGUCUGAGAGGAUGAUCAGCCACAUUGGGACUGAGACACGGCCCAAACUCCUACGGGAGGCAGCAGUGGGGAAUAUUGGACAAUGGGCGCAAGCCUGAUCCAGCCAUGCCGCGUGUGUGAUGAAGGCCUUAGGGUUGUAAAGCACUUUCACCGGAGAAGAUAUUGACGGUAUCCGGAGAAGAAGCCCCGGCUAACUUCGUGCCAGCAGCCGCGGUAA